UCAUCCCUGUGACAACUUUUUCCUCUCGUCGAGCGGCAAAAGGGUGCACAGCGUGACCGGUGACCUCCGCCGUCUGCAUGCGAGCCACAAGGUGACGAACGCCACCAGCCAGGAGCUCAGGAGGGUUGCCGCGAUGGAGGGCGGGGCCCGCCACGCGCCUCACCCCGCUGCCGCGGCGCAAGAACCCAACAGGAUGCUGACGGAGGGAGGCGCCGCGGAGAGACCCGCGCUGCGGAGAAAGUCGGCCGACUAUUCCACAGAGGCAGCCGGGCCGUCGGACCAGGGAUAUGAUGGGUUCACGGCGCUGUUUCCCGUGACCUGCGACGCCAAGGCCCCGUCGAAGAGGCAGCGGA